AUGGUGACAGAGACCAGUAUCGUGGUGACGGCGUCGUCGAAGUCGAGACAACAGUCGUGAGAGAGAUCGAGAUUCUUACCGACAACGUCGUGAUCAAGAUGAUGACGGAGAGACAGAAGCAAAGAGAAGACACGUCGCUGAAGAGAUCGACAAUGAUAAACCGGAGGUGAUGGCAGUACUCGAUCAGGUUGGGCAGACAACGACGAUUCAUUACCAUAUCAAGAAGAAAUCAAUGGCACGACUCCUGAAAACAAUGGCACGACUCCUGAAAACAAUGGCACGGCUCCUGAAAACAAUGGCACGGCUCCUGAAAACAAUUGCACGUCUCCUGAAAACAAUGGCACGGCUCCUGAAAACAUUGGCACGACUCUUGAAAACAAUGGCGCGACUCCUGAAAACAAUGGCACGGCCCCUGGAAACAAUGGCACGGCUCCUCCUGUAGUUGCAAACUGAUCUCUCAUACAAGUAUAAGAGUCCUAAUCUUACAAUAGGCUUGCAUUCCUAUGCCAGACCUCCGUACGACAGCACAAUUAGUUGGUUGACUGCGUUGGAAGCGUCUUGUUGGGUUUCUCUCUUUCAGUGUGAAAAUGAAAUCCCAUACAAAAUCAUCAGUAAUUGAUACUGAAUGCUGUAAUUUGGGUGCUCCCGAAGUAUGUGAACCAAGAUGGCGGACAUCUGAACAUAGUAGGUUAGGGUUAAGCCAUAAUUUAUUUCCAAUUUUCCUCAUUUCCUCAAGUUUAGGGACUACCCAAUUGACUCCGUAGUAUUUGUACCUGAAAUUAUGGCCUAACCCUAACCCGGUACACAUACUACGUUCCGGAGUCCACCAUCUUGGUUCACAUACUUCGGGAAUGCUGUAAUUUGACUUUUUUUAUUCCGUUUUAAUUUUUACUUCUUUUCUUUACGCUCACGAAACUGAAUGGUUUUCCGAAUUGAUGAUUUUAAGAAUAUCUGCCUCUUGCAAGGACACUUGUCCUCAUUUCCCUGGACUGUUUCUAUCAGGACGAUGAAUGUUAAAGCUUUUUUUC